UACGAAGGGGGCUAGCGUUGCUCGGAAUCACUGGGCGUAAAGCGCACGUAGGCGGUUUCUUAAGUCAGGGGUGAAAUCCUGGAGCUCAACUCCAGAACUGCCUUUGAUACUGGGAGACUUCGAGUCCGGGAGAGGUGAGUGGAACUGCGAGUGUAGAGGGGAAAUUCGUAGAUAUUCGCAAGAACACCAGUGGCGAAGGCGGCUCACUGGCCCGGUACUGACGCUGAGGUGCGAAAGCGUGGGGAGCAAACAGG
rnacentral:rRNA from 1 species